rnacentral:lncRNA from 1 species
CCUCGUGGCCCACGUGAGCCACUGGCCGCCGCGGGAUUGGUUGUCCGGCGAGGGCCGCACUGGACUGUGGGGCGCCGCGGCGCAGCGAAGCGGAGGCGGUUGGGAGGCGGGAAGUGAGUUUUGUUGGGGAGCCGAAGGCCGAGAGCCAGCUGCCUUCAGCGUCUGCAGGCUGGGGCAAACGUACUGAGAGCUUAGGGCGCAGGAGUUUUAGGACUCCGGAAAGCGGGCUGCGGACUCCUGCAUGGAUCUUUGGUUUGAGCCCUGGGUCUGGCCUUAUUCGUGUUUCCCCGCCAGGACGGUUUCUCGCCGUUUUCCCCUGAAGUUGGUGGGGUUUGGACCUUAUUAGUUUUAAGGGUCCGCUGUGUGUAAGCAUUGGUUGUCCUGCGCAGGGCGCUGUUAGGUAGCUGGGGGAAGGAGGGCUAAGAGAUGCGUGAGGUAUGGUCCUUACGUGGAAUGUUGGAGAUAAACCUAGUUUUCUUGGAUGUGCAAAGAGGGUCUUGGGCUACUGUUACAUAAUACAAGGAGGUGAAAUGCAAUGAUGCGAUGAUGAGCGAAGUAUAGUCUGACCUGGUAUUGCCAUUGCUUCAGUGUUGGCUUUGACCAGGGGAUGAUCCCUUAAUCUUCUCUCUGAGCUGAUUCUGGUUGUGGUUUUUCUACACUGGUGAAAAACCUGACUUUGAUAUCUUCCUGGAGGACUACGCUGUUUCAAUCCUAAAUCUGGUUCAGUUCCCUUACUGACUUAUACUAUAUUAAAAAUGUUUGGGGGCUGGCCCCGUGGCCGAGUGGUUAAGUUCGCGCGCUCCGCUGCAGGCGGCCCAGUGUUUCGUUAGUUCGAAUCCUGGGCGCGGACAUGGCACUGCUCAUCAGACCACGCUGAGGCGGCGUCCCACAUGCCACAACUAGAAGAACCCACAAUGAGGAAUACACAACUAUGUACCGGGGGGCUUUGGGGAGAAAAAGG